GAUGAACGCUGGCGGCGUGCCUAAUACAUGCAAGUCGAGCGAACAGACGAGGAGCUUGCUCCUCUGACGUUAGCGGCGGACGGGUGAGUAACACGUGGAUAACCUACCUAUAAGACUGGGAUAACUUCGUGAAACCGGAGCUAAUACCGGAUAAUAUAUUGAACCGCAUGGUUCAAUAGUGAAAGACGGUUUUGCUGUCACUUAUAGAUGGAUCCGCGCCGCAUUAGCUAGUUGGUAAGGUAACGGCUUACCAAGGCAACGAUGCGUAGCCGACCUGAGAGGGUGAUCGGCCACACUGGAAGUGAGACACGGUCCAGACUACUACGGGAGGAAGCAGUAGGGAAUAUUCCGCAAUGGGCGAAAGCCUGACGGAGCAACGCCGCGUGAGUGAUGAAGGUCUUCGGAUCGUAAAACUCUGUUAUUAGGGAAGAAAAAAUGUGUAAGUAAAUAUGCACGUAUUGACGGUACCUAAUCAGAAAGCAACGGCUAACUACGUG
rnacentral:rRNA from 1 species